rnacentral:rRNA from 1 species
GUGGGGAAUCUUAGACAAUGGGCGCAAGCCUGAUCUAGCCAUGCCGCGUGAGUGAUGAAGGCCCUAGGGUUGUAAAGCUCUUUCAGCUGGGAAGAUAAUGACGGUACCAGCAGAAGAAGCCCCGGCUAACUCCGUGCCAGCAGCCGCGGUAAUACGGAGGGGGCUAGCGUUGUUCGGAAUUACUGGGCGUAAAGCGCGCGUAGGCGGACUGAAAAGUUGGGGGUGAAAUCCCGGGGCUCAACCUCGGAACUGCCUUCAAAACUAUCAGUCUGGAGUUCGAGAGAGGUGAGUGGAAUUCCGGGUGUAGAGGUGAAAUUCGUAGAUAUUCGGAGGAACACCAGUGGCGAAGGCGGCUCACUGGCUCGAUACUGACGCUGAGGUGCGAAAGCGUGGGGAGCAAACAGGAUUAGAAACCCCGGUAGUCC